AGUCUACCUGCGGACUUAAAAGGCAGGGGCAGCAAGUCAGAGCGACGACUUAAAACGCUUA
rnacentral:ncRNA from 1 species